UACGGAGGGAGCUAGCGUUGUUCGGAAUUACUGGGCGUAAAGCGCGCGUAGGCGGCUUUGUAAGUUAGAGGUGAAAGCCCGGGGCUCAACCCCGGAACUGCCUUUAAGACUGCAUCGCUUGAAUCCAGGAGAGGUGAGUGGAAUUCCGAGUGUAGAGGUGAAAUUCGUAGAUAUUCGGAAGAACACCAGUGGCGAAGGCGGCUCACUGGACUGGUAUUGACGCUGAUGGUGCGAAAGCGUGGGGAGCAAACAGG
rnacentral:rRNA from 1 species